rnacentral:rRNA from 1 species
CCUACGGGCAGCAGCAGUGGGGAAUAUUGGACAAUGGGCGAAAGCCUGAUCCAGCCAUGCCGCGUGUGUGAAGAAGGCCUUCGGGUUGUAAAGCACUUUCAGUGGGGAAGAAAGCCUUGGGGCUAAUACCCUCGAGGAAGGACAUCACCCACAGAAGAAGCACCGGCUAACUCCGUGCCAGCAGCCGCGGUAAUACGGAGGGUGCGAGCGUUAAUCGGAAUUACUGGGCGUAAAGCGCGCGUAGGCGGUCUGAUAAGCCGGUUGUGAAAGCCCCGGGCUCAACCUGGGAACGGCAUCCGGAACUGUCAGGCUAGAGUGCAGGAGAGGAAGGUAGAAUUCCCGGUGUAGCGGUGAAAUGCGUAGAGAUCGGGAGGAAUACCAGUGGCGAAGGCGGCCUUCUGGACUGACACUGACGCUGAGGUGCGAAAGCGUGGGUAGCAAACAGGAUUAGAUACUCGAGUAGUC